UACGUAGGGUGCAAGCGUUAAUCGGAAUUACUGGGCGUAAAGGGCUCGUAGGCGGCCUGUUGCGUCCGCUGUGAAAUCCCGGGGCUCAACCCCGGGCCCUGCAGUGGAUACGGGCUGGCUAGAGGCAGGCAGGGGAGAACGGAAUUCCUGGUGUAGCGGUGAAAUGCGCAGAUAUCAGGAGGAACACCGGUGGCGAAGGCGGUUCUCUGGGGCC
rnacentral:rRNA from 1 species